rnacentral:rRNA from 1 species
ACCUACGGGACGCAGCAGUGGGGAAUCUUGCGCAAUGGGCGAAAGCCUGACGCAGCAACGCCGCGUGUGUGAUGAAGGUCUUCGGAUCGUAAAGCACUGUCGCGAGGGACGAAUAAGGGGCGGGCGAACAGCCCGUUCCGAUGACGGUACCUCGAGAGGAAGCACCGGCUAACUCUGUGCCAGCAGCCGCGGUAAUACAGAGGGUGCGAGCGUUGUUCGGAAUUAUUGGGCGUAAAGCGCGUGUAGGCGGCCUUGCAAGUUGGGUGUGAAAGCCCUCGGCUUAACCGAGGAAGUGCGCCCAAAACUACGAGGCUUGAGUGCCGGAGAGGGUGGCGGAAUUCCCGGUGUAGAGGUGAAAUUCGUAGAUAUCGGGAGGAACACCAGUGGCGAAGGCGGCCACCUGGACGGUAACUGACGCUGAGACGCGAAAGCGUGGGGAGCAAACAGGAUUAGAUACCCGUGUAGUCCA